rnacentral:rRNA from 1 species
GUGGGGAAUAUUGGACAAUGGGCGAAAGCCUGAUCCAGCCAUGCCGCGUGUGUGAAGAAGGUCUUCGGAUUGUAAAGCACUUUAAGUUGGGAGGAAGGGCAGUAAGUUAAUACCUUGCUGUUUUGACGUUACCGACAGAAUAAGCACCGGCUAACUUCGUGCCAGCAGCCGCGGUAAUACGAAGGGUGCAAGCGUUAAUCGGAAUUACUGGGCGUAAAGCGCGCAUAGGUGGUUUUGUAAGUUGGAGGUGAAAUCCCCGGGCUCAACCUGGGAACUGCCUCCAAAACUGCAUGACUAGAGUACGGUAGAGGGUAGUGGAAUUGCCUGUGUAGCGGUGAAAUGCGUAGAUAUAGGAAGGAACACCAGUGGCGAAGGCGACUACCUGGACUGAUACUGACACUGAGGUGCGAAAGCGUGGGGAGCAAACAGGAUUAGAUACCCCAGUAGUCC